UACGAAGGGGGCUAGCGUUGUUCGGAAUCACUGGGCGUAAAGGGCGCGUAGGCGGGCGGCCAAGUCAGGGGUGAAAUCGUUCGGCCCAACCGGACAAGGGCCCCUGAUACUGGCUGUCUCGAGGGAGGUAGGGGUCGAUGGAACUUCCGGUGGAGCGGUGAAAUGCGUAGAUAUCGGAAGGAACGCCGGUGGCGAAAGCGAUCGACUGGACCUCUUCUGACGCUGAGGCGCGAAAGCCAGGGGAGCAAAGCGGG
rnacentral:rRNA from 1 species